rnacentral:lncRNA from 1 species
CGCAAGGUGACCAAGCCCCAGAAGGUGGGAGUCCACCUUCUGGAGAACACGGAGGCGGAGCGCUUCAACUCCGAGCAGUUCCUCGUAUCGCCUCCCCUCAAGGCCGGUACUCUGGAGGAGGCGACCACGUACAAGGUCCUGCAGGACGGCGUGACCGGCGACGAGGGCGUCCUGGACGGCGGCGCGGACGACGACAUCGACAUCGACCUGGACGGCAGCGCGGGCGACGACAUCGACAUCGACCUGGACGGCGGUGCGGACGACGACAUCGACAUCGACCUGGACGGCGGCGCGGGCGACGACAUCAAUAUCGGCCUGGACGGCGGCGCGGGCGACGACAUCGACAUCGGCCUGGACGGCGGCGCGGGAGGCCAGGGCGGCGGUGCGGGCGGCCAGGCGUAAAUCCGGCGCCGCGCGGCGUACUAUCUUAUAUACUCUCUGGUUUACUCUUUGGAUGAUGCGAACCUGCCUUAUGUCGUUUGAUGGAUCUUUAUCUGGAUUGAUGAGGAAACGAACUUAAUUUGGUCGGAUGAU